ensembl:lncRNA
AUGAGUUGGAUGCUGCAGGCCAUAAAGUGUCCCACAGAAGAGCAAGUUAAGAAGAAGCAUCUGGCAUUUAUGGAACGCUUUCUGUGUUCCACACACCGAGUGAAGCACCUCACGGACAUGAUCCCAUUUACUCCUCUUGAUGACGCUAAGAUGCGGUAACAACUGGUACCCUCAUUUCACCCAUGAAGAAACGGAAGCACAGAGAUGUUAAGGAACCUCACAGGAGUAGCAGAACUGGCAUUUGAACCCAAAUCAGUAUGAUUCUAGAACCUGUGUUCUUUGUUGAUGUGCUAUAGCAUUGUGGGGCUAUUGUGAAGAUUAAUGAGAUGAUGCAUGUAACAGACUUAUCACGGUUCCUGGCCUAUAAUAAGGAUCACAGUGAAUCCCUGCUGUUAUUUGCAUGUAUAAGUAUCCUAGUGCUGUUCUUCAGUACUAAGUAGGUGAUGCUACUUACCUCUGCUAUGUAAGACACACAGUGCUUAGUGUUCCUAAGUAGCUAGUGAGUCGAAAUGAAUAGUGGUGGUGAGGAUUUCUACUCAGUGCAUGUAGUACAUAUGGCUCUGUGGUGGGGCUGGAGAUACAGUGAUCGUGACAGCGGAUCAGGUUAGAGGGUUGGUAAACAAGUGAAGGGAACUGGUCCACCCUGCAAGAAAGUCUACAGUCAUGGCCUGAUUACGCAUUGCCUCCUAGAGUCUAAGAAAUGGCCAUAUACCAUAUACAACAAAUAUUACACUAAGGGCCUGCUUUGUCAGACUCCAUACGGAGACAAAAUCAGACUAGACAUAAGCCUUGUGCUCGUGGAACUUGCAGUCUAGUAGGGAAUACAUUAAAACCCAAAGAAUGUAAUGGAAUAAUUACAAAUUGUAAUAAAGCCACCAAGGAAAUAAUCAGAGGGCUGAGAUACAGAAUAAUGGAAUUGGGACAGGAAAGGGGAGGUCAGAUCCUACUUUGCUUGGGGUAGGAAAGGAGGGCUUCCUUGAGUAGGUGGCAUUUAAGACCCGACGAUAGGAAGAGCCUAGCAAGGGGAACAAUACAGACAAAGGCUUUGAGGUGGGAAAGAGCUCCACAAGUUGGAGGGGCUCAAAGAGGAGGGCUGUGGCUGGAGCAUAACAAGGAAGGGGGGAUGAGGCGGGGCCAGAAGGGUAGGCAGGGGCAGACAAUGGAGGGUCUUAUCCGCUCUUCGUAAGAAAUUGGGUUUUUUUUUUUUUAAAGUUUUAUUUAUUUAUUUGAGAGAGAGAAUGAGAGACAGAGAGUACAAGAGGGAAGAGGGUCAGAGGGAGAAGCAGACUCCCCGCUGAGCAGGGAGCCCGAUGCGGGACUCGAUCCCGGGACUCCAGGAUCAUGACCUGAGCCGAAGGCAGUCGCUUAACCAACUGAGCCACCCAGGCGCCCAAGAAAUUGGGUUUUAUUUGAAGUGUAAUGGAAACUCACCAAAGGGUCCUAAAUAGAUGAGUGAUGUGAUCUGAUUUGCUGCUGUGGACUAGACAGGAUAAAAAUUCUGUUGAGGUGGUCUGGACCAAAGAUCGUGGUGCCUGGGACCAAGCAGUCCUUACAAGUGGGAGGCCAGAUGGUCAGAGACCAUUGGAUGAUGGAAGCAGAGGUCGGAGCUGUGUGGGGCCGAGAUCCAAGGAAUGUGGGCAGCCCCUAGACACUGGAAAAGGCAAAAAAGUGGAUUCUCCCCAAGGCCUCUGGAAGGAACGCAGCCCUGUCAACGCAUUUUAAACUCCUGACUUACAAAACUAUAAUAUAAUAAAUGUGUUGCUUUAAGCCACUAGGUCGGUGGUAAGUAGUUACAGCAGCAAUAGGAAAACUUUCUGCAGCCCCUACGCCUGAAGGAGUGAGGGGAGGGAGGACGUGACCAGACCCAGGGAGAAAGCUACAGGAG